rnacentral:rRNA from 1 species
AGCCAGACUCCUACGGGAGGCAGCAGUGGGGAAUAUUGCACAAUGGGGGAAACCCUGAUGCAGCAACGCCGCGUGAGUGAAGAAGUAUUUCGGUAUGUAAAGCUCUAUCAGCAGGGAAGAAAAUGACAGUACCUGACUAAGAAGCCCCGGCUAACUACGUGCCAGCAGCCGCGGUAAUACGUAGGGGGCAAGCGUUAUCCGGAUUUACUGGGUGUAAAGGGAGCGUAGACGGCAUGGCAAGUCAGAUGUGAAAGCCCGGGGCUCAACCCCGGGACUGCAUUUGAAACUGUCAGGCUGGAGUGCAGGAGAGGUAAGUGGAAUUCCUAGUGUAGCGGUGAAAUGCGUAGAUAUCAGGAGGAACACCGGCGGCGAAGGCGGCCUGCUGGACCGUGACUGACGUUGAGGCUCGAGAGCGUGGGGAGCAAACAGGAUUAGAUACCCUUGUACU